UACAGAGGGUGCAAGCGUUAAUCGGAAUUACUGGGCGUAAAGCGCACGUAGGGGGUUUGGAAAGUUGGAUGUGAAAGCCCUGGGCUUAACCUGGGAACUGCAUUCAAUACUACCAAGCUAGAGUAGAGUAGAGGGAAGUGGAAUUUCCGGUGUAGCGGUGAAAUGCGUAGAUAUCGGAAGGAACACCAGUGGCGAAGGCGGCUUCCUGGACUCAUACUGACACUGAGGUGCGAAAGCGUGGGGAGCAAACAGG
rnacentral:rRNA from 1 species